GGGGAUUAGUGGCGAACGGGUGAGUAACACGUGGGCAAUCUGCCCUUCACUCUGGGACAAGCCCUGGAAACGGGGUCUAAUACCGGAUAUGACGCGCUCGGGCAUCCGAUGUGCGUGGAAAGCUCCGGCGGUGAAGGAUGAGCCCGCGGCCUAUCAGCUUGUUGGUGAGGUAACGGCUCACCAAGGCGACGACGGGUAGCCGGCCUGAGAGGGCGACCGGCCACACUGGGACUGAGACACGGCCCAGACUCCUACGGGAGGCAGCAGUGGGGAAUAUUGCACAAUGGGCGCAAGCCUGAUGCAGCGACGCCGCGUGAGGGAUGACGGCCUUCGGGUUGUAAACCUCUUUCAGCAGGGAAGAAGCGCAAGUGACGGUACCUGCAGAAGAAGCGCCGGCUAACUACGUGCCAGCAGCCGCGGUAAUACGUAGGGCGCGAGCGUUGUCCGGAAUUAUUGGGCGUAAAGAGCUCGUAGGCGGUCUGUCGCGUCGGAUGUGAAAGCCCGGGGCUUAACCCCGGGUCUGCAUUCGAUACGGGCAGACUA
rnacentral:rRNA from 1 species